rnacentral:rRNA from 1 species
AACGUAGGUUCCGAGCGUUAUCCGGAUUUACUGGGCGUAAAGCGCGUUCAGGCGGUUUGGCAAGUCGGGCAUGAAAUCUCUCGGCUCAACCGGGAGAGGUUGUCCGAUACUGCUGGACUUGAGGGCAGUAGAGGGUGGUGGAAUUCCGGGUGUAGUGGUGAAAUGCGCAGAUAUCAGGAGGAACACCGGUGGCGAAGGCGGGACUCUGGGCCGAUACUGACGCUGAGGAGCGAAAGCGUGGGGAGCAAACAGG